GACGACGCUGGCGGCGUGCUUAACACAUGCAAGUCGAACGAGUGGCGAACGGGUGAGUAAUGUCUGGGAAACUGCCCGAUGGAGGGGGAUAACUACUGGAAACGGUAGCUAAUACCGCAUACCAUCAGAUGUGCCCAGAUGGGAUUAGCAAGUAGGUGGGGUAACGGCUCACCUAGGCGACGAUCCCGAGCUGGUCUGAGAGGAUGACCAGCCACACUGGAACUGAGACAAGGUCCAGACUCCUACGGGAGGCAGCAGUGGGGAAUAUUGCACAAUGGGCGCAAGCCGGAUGCAGCCAUGCCGCGUGUAUGAAGAAGGCCUUCGGGUUGUAAAGUACUUUCAGCGAGGAGGCGUUACUCGCAGAAGAAGCACCGGCUAACUCCGUGCCAGCAGCCGCGGUAAUAC
rnacentral:rRNA from 1 species